rnacentral:rRNA from 1 species
GGGGGGGGUAAGCGUUGUUCGGAAUUACUGGGCGUAAAGGGCUCGUAGCCGGCCAACUAAGUCAGACGUGAAAUCCCUCAGCUUAACUGGGGAACUGCGUCUGAUACUGGAUGGCUUGGAUUCGGGAGAGGGAUGCGGAAUUCCAGGUGUAGCGGUGAAAUGCGUAGAUAUCUGGAGGAACACCGGUGGCGAAGGCGGCAUCCUGGACCGAUAUUGACGCUGAGGAGCGAAAGCCAGGGGAGCAAACGGGAUUAGAUACCCCGGUAGUCCUGGCCCUAAACGAUGAAUGCUUGGUGUAGCGGGUAUCGAUCCCUGCUGUGCCGAAGCUAACGCAUUAAGCAUUCCGCCUGGGGAGUACGGUCGCAAGGCUG